AGCGAACGCUGGCGGCAGGCUUAACACAUGCAAGUCGAACGGGCACUUCGGUGUCAGUGGCAGACGGGUGAGUAACGCGUGGGAACAUACCUCUUGGUUCGGAACAACACAGGGAAACUUGUGCUAAUACCGGAUAAGCCCUUACGGGAAGAUUUAUCGCCGAGAGAUUGGCCCGGCGUCUGAUUAGCUAGUUGGUGUGGUAAAAGACGCACCAAGGCGACGAUCAGUAGCUGGUCNGAGAGGAUGAUCAGCCACACUGGGACUGAGACACGGCCCAGACUCCUACGGGAGGCAGCAGUGGGGAAUAUUGCACAAUGGCGAAAGACCUGAUGCAGCGACGCCGCGUGAGGGAUGACUGCCUUCGGGUUGUAAACCU
rnacentral:rRNA from 1 species